GAUAAAGGAUAAACGGCUAAGGACGCGUCGUCCUAGCGGCAGUCUCAAAGCACAACGUCCUGUUGCUUUGCCUGUACUAGUCGCAACGCCGUUCUAGCCAACGUCCUGUUGG
rnacentral:sRNA from 1 species